CCUGUUAACGAUUUGAUGGAGAAAUGCAACGUGAAUCCUGCAGAUAUUGAUAAGGUGAUUUUGUGCGGUGGGUCAACUCGCAUGCCAAGAAUCCAAACGCUACUACAAAAAUAUAUUCAAAGGAAAAGAAAUGUUAAAAGAAUAAGUCCUGAAGGUGUUGUUGCAUAUGGUGCAGCCAUACAGGCAUCGUUGCUUCAAGGAAACAAAAUGAAAACAUUCAUAGUCAUCGUAUUACUUGUACUUCUCGAGCAAUUGCAAUAAA